rnacentral:rRNA from 1 species
UACGGGGGGUGCAAGCGUUGUCCGGAAUUACUGGGCGUAAAGCGUGCGUAGGUGGUUCGUUAAGUCUGAUGUGAAAGCCCUGGGCUCAACCUGGGAAUGGCAUUGGAAACUGGCGACCUAGAGUGCGGUAGAGGGCAGUGGAAUUCCCGGUGUAGCAGUGAAAUGCGUAGAGAUCGGGAGGAACAUCUGUGGCGAAGGCGACUGCCUGGACCAGCACUGACACUGAGGCACGAAAGCGUGGGGAGCAAACAGG